rnacentral:snRNA from 1 species
GAGGGUGAGAGCCCCGUCGUGCC